GCGGGCGUGGUGGAACUGGCAGACACGUCAGAUUUAGGUUCUGAUGACGCAAGUCGUGGGGGUUCAAGUCCCUUCGCCCGCA
rnacentral:tRNA from 1 species